UACAGAGGGGGCAAGCGUUGUUCGGAAUUACUGGGCGUAAAGGGCGCGUAGGCGGCCUUCUAAGUCGAACGUGAAAUCCCCGGGCUCAACCCGGGAACUGCGUCCGAUACUGGGAGGCUUGAAUCCGGGGGAGGGAUGUGGAAUUCCAGGUGUAGCGGUGAAAUGCGUAGAUAUCUGGAGGAACACCGGUGGCGAAGGCGGCAUCCUGGACCGGUAUUGACGCUGAGGCGCGAAAGCUAGGGGAGCAAACGGG
rnacentral:rRNA from 1 species